AGAGCGAACGCUGGCGGCAGGCUUAACACAUGCAAGUCGAGCGGGCGUAGCAAUACGUCAGCGGCAGACGGGUGAGUAACGCGUGGGAACAUACCUUUUGGUUCGGAACAACACAGGGAAACUUGUGCUAAUACCGGAUAAGCCCUUACGGGGAAAGAUUUAUCGCCGAAAGAUUGGCCCGCGUCUGAUUAGCUAGUUGGUGAGGUAAUGGCUCACCAAGGCGACGAUCAGUAGCUGGUCUGAGAGGAUGAUCAGCCACAUUGGGACUGAGACACGGCCCAAACUCCUACGGGAGGCAGCAGUGGGGAAUAUUGGACAAUGGGCGCAAGCCUGAUCCAGCCAUGCCGCGUGAGUGAUGAAGGCCCUAGGGUUGUAAAGCUCUUUGUGCGGGAAGAUAAUGACGGUACCGCAAGAAUAAGCCCCGGCUAACUUCGUGCCAGCAGCCGC
rnacentral:rRNA from 1 species